rnacentral:rRNA from 1 species
GUUCCAGACUCCUACGGGAGGCAGCAGUGGGGAAUAUUGCACAAUGGGGGAAACCCUGAUGCAGCAACGCCGCGUGAGUGAAGAAGUAUUUCGGUAUGUAAAGCUCUAUCAGCAGGGAAGAAAAUGACGGUACCUGAGUAAGAAGCCCCGGCUAACUACGUGCCAGCAGCCGCGGUAAUACGUAGGGGGCAAGCGUUAUCCGGAUUCACUGGGUGUAAAGGGAGCGUAGACGGCCAUGCAAGCCUGGAGUGAAAGCCCGGGGCCCAACCCCGGGACUGCUCUGGGAACUGUGCGGCUGGAGUGCGGGAGGGGCAGGCGGAAUUCCUGGUGUAGCGGUGAAAUGCGUAGAUAUCAGGAGGAACACCGGCGGCGAAGGCGGCCUGCUGGACCGCGACUGACGUUGAGGCUCGAAAGCGUGGGGAGCAAACAGGAUUAGAUACCCGGGUA